AGACCUUUUUCACUUGUUUUUUCAAACAAAUCUCACCUAAAAUGAGAACACCAAAGAACAAGUAACGGAAAGGGACAUUAAAAAUCCCGACGUCGACUCUGCUGGGGACUCCAGUAAGAGGACUCUUCUUGUGUGUGGAUGUUGCAUUUACAUUUAUGAUGAAUGUGUACGAAUGCAUUUACUUAUUGCACGUAGUGCCUCGCACCAUAUCUGCUUGUGAUAUUAGUGCUUCGUACAUGUCAUC
rnacentral:lncRNA from 1 species